CUUCCUGGAGUCCGUAGGAGCUUCAGCUGAGCUCCUGGGUCGCCCCACCCACCAGAGUCACCUGGGGAUUGCAGAGCAAAAGGAGUGCCAUUGGGGGGAUGUGAGGCUGGGGUUCUGUUACUUGCUGUGAAUUGGGUCAUGACCUGUGUUGGGGUGUUCUCUGGCCUCCACUUGCCCCUGCAGACCAGGGUGUCUGAGGGUUGUGGGGGGCUUGAUGGAGGAAUUGCUGACCACACCAUGCAGGAAGGGGCGGGUCCCAGGGACACAGGAACUUUGGGAUCAGCUGAUUCCAGAUUUAGUUGCAGAGGAGCAUCCCCCUUGCUUAGCCAGGGAGGGGAAGCCCUCUUCUCACACCCGGCCUGGGUAUGUUGUGGGAGAGUCAUUUCCCGGGAGGAAAUGGGGGCUGUUACCGGGGGAGGGGGUGCCGUCCCUGGGCAGCAGCAAGCGUCCCUUACACUUGGGCUGUCUGAGACCCUGCUGCUCUAGGUGGUUGUGAUGGGGGACCCCCACAGGGCACGGAGAGCCAGCUGAAGGUGGCAGCUCUGGGUGGGAUCGCAGGGAAAGGGGAGGCGAGCCCCCCUCUUGCCAAUCUUGGUCUCCCCACAGGGUCAUAGCUCCUCGGCCCCUCACUUGUCAGACCCUCCAUUCACCAAAUUAAGGAUAAGUUUCACGAUUUUGCACUGCAGAGUGUUCGCUCCCUUUCUCUUCAAAAAAGCUGAGGAGGAAGAUAAAAUGAUACAGCUGGGCUUAGUCCAGCGGAAGGGUUAAAGGUGUAAGGCUUUAAUUCUCCCCACCAUUUCCUCAUUUGGCAAAACAGAAAAGACAGGAUUGAAAAACAAGAAAAACCCAGAGGCUUGCACAUAAAUUUGGGGCUUAAUUACAGCAUCUUCGGCAUCUUCCUUUCCCUACGGUGCGAAUGACAAAGUAGCCCCAGAGAUCUCGUGUCUCCUACUUUAUUCCUCUUUCCAGAAUAUUCCAGCCACCGAAGUGCUCAGCCGGAGCUGCUGUGUAAGAGUCCCCCAUGAGACCCAAGCACCUGGGUUUAGUGACAUGUAUGGUUGAACACUGGGAGAAUGCUAGGAGCCUGCUGUUGUUCCCGAUUGAGGGUUGGCCCCACUGUGUGUGUAUCACUCUUUCUACAGCAGAUGUGUGUCUGUCCCCACGGUGGGAUGGCGAGCUUGUUAAAUGGCCGUGAGGAAGACUUUAUUCAGGACCAUCAAGACAGGUACAGGUACCAUCAGUGGAUGGAAAAUCACUAAGAGCAAACCUCAGGGGUCCCGGGGGGUUUCGGCUAAACCCAUCUAGCAGGAUUGUUGCUGAAGGCAGGCCAGGGUGAUCAGAGGUCACCUGGGGAUGGUGGAGGCUGAAGAAGCCGAUCGGAUGUGAGGGUGGCAGGGGUUGGGGGGGAUGGCGGCUGGGUUCAUUUGCUGAAAGGAUUUUACAAGGACAUGCAUGGAUGGGCCUAGGAGGAGGUUCAGAAUUCUCAGGUUUGGCCAAGCAAGAGUCAUGGUGGUGCUCCCGGCCGACUCUCAGGAGCAGAUGUGCUUCUGACCCAGCGUCUUUCCCCAGAGAGGGCUGAAGUGGAAAAAACCCACAGAACUUCUCCCUGGGACAGGCUGGAGUACAGUGGCGCGAUCUCGGCUCACUGCAACCUCCGCCUCCUGGGUUCAAGCGAUUCUCCUGCCUUGGGACUACAGGUGCGUGUGAACACAGCCAGCUAGCUUUUCAAUUUUAGCAGAGACAGGGUUUCACCAUACUGGCCAGGCUGGUCGAACUCCUGACCUCAUGAUCCACCCCCCUCGGCCUCCCAAAGUGCUGGGAUUACAGGUGUGAGCCACGGCACCCGGCCCAUAAAUACAAGCUUUCUGAGGGACAUCUUGUAGCACACAAAACUAUAGACAAUGUUAUCAUAACCACCCCUGCAAAUGCCUCACUCGUGUUCAGCCAUCAUUUACAUUUGAGCCACUCCUGUUUCACCAGCCUCCUCAUGGCCCCUCCCCUGGAGCACUUUAAAAUGGUAAUUACAUGCUCUCUAGUAAUAGUUGUGUGUUACUGUCAAAAGGUAUAACUCAUGCAUUUAUGGGGGUAACCCCUACAGCAGUUAACCCUGCGUGCUCAACGGGGAAUGAAAGGUAGCUCAGAGGCUCAGGAGGCGAGGUUGCAAAAUGGCUUGCGUUGUGGGGAAUGUUCUCAUCCACCCAAAUCAAGCAUCACUACAUCCAUCCGCGGGGGAGGUGAGCUUAGGGCACCAUGUCCAGGAGUGGCCAGGUCCUGAUGUCACGGGGAGCUGGGCUGGGGCAAGCUCCAGAUGGCCAGGGUGGUGUGGGUUUGCAGUGGGAGGGCUGGCGCGGGGACCCUGAGGGCUCUCUGGUUCCCACCUUAUCAAGAUGCUGGACUCAGUGCUUGAAACAUGUCCUGACAGCCACAUGGAAAGGGUUAGAAAUGAUACUGUUUUCGCCUGGGUGCCGUGGCUCACGCCUGUAAUCCCAGCACUUUGGGAGGCCGAGGCGGGUGGAUCACGAGGUCAGGAGUUCGAGACCAGCCUGGCCAACAUGGCGAAACCUCGUCUCUACUAAAAAUACAAAAAUCAGCCUAGUGUGGUGGCGGGCACCUGUAGUCCUAGCUACUCAGGAGGCUGAGGCAGGAGAAUCGCUUGAACCUGGGAGGCGGAGGUUGCAGUGAGCUGAGAUUGCACCGCUGCACUCCAGCCUGGGUGACAGGGUGAGACUCCCGUCUCAAAAAAAAAGAUGAUACUGUUUCCUGUAUUUUUUCUCUUAGUAUAUAAGAAAUACAUUAUUUGAACAGGGAUCUUGUGUCUCCUCUCCCCUUUCCUGGACUAUUCUGACCCCAGCAGUUCUCAGAAGGAGCUGACAUUAAUGAUAACUUCUCCCUGUUAGACCCUUAAAAUACUGAGCUUUCGGGACCCUGCCUGGCUUGUUCGUGUAAAACGGUCUUGUCUGGUAAAUACUAAGAUUUUUGGUCUCACAGCCGAGGAAAUCAAGGAUGUGGAUGCACACAGAGUGAGAUACGGAGCAGGAGUUUAAUAGGCAAAAGGAAGGAACAGCUCUGUCACAGAGACGGGUCCCGAACGGGUUGUGAAAUUGCAGUAGAAAUGUCAGGGGUUUUAUAGAUGGGCUAGUGAGGAGGGGUGUCUUUUCUUCCUAGGGCCUGAAGAACCAGUUAGGACCAGGUGUGCUAUCUGCAUCGAGCAGAGUCUAGCAGCCCCCACCCCAUUCUUUUUUUUCUUGUUUGUUUGAGAUGGAGUCUUGCUCUGUCGCCCAGGCUGGAGUGCAGUGGUGUGAUCUUGGCUCACUGCAAGCUCCGCCUCCCAGGUUCAAGCAAUUCUUGUGCCUCAGCCUCCCGAGUAGUUAGGAUUACAGGUGCAUGCAGCCACGCCUGGCUAAUUUUGUAUUUUUAGUAGAGACAAGGUUUCACCAUGUUGGUCAGGCUGAUCUCCAACUCCUGACCUCAAGUGAUGUGCCUGCCUCGGCCUCCCAAAGUGCUGGGAUUACAGGCGUGAGCCACCGCGCCUGGCCCCCACCCCAUUCGUUGAGCCUGCAGGCAGGCCCUUAGUUUGUGCAGCUCUGCGCUGCUUAUCUGCGUGUGCUAAAAGGGGAGGGAGAGUUUCUAUGCCCAUUCCCAGGCACCUUCUUGCAGCUGCAGGCAUCUCCCCCACGCACGCAGGCUUCCAGCUUCCCUAUCUUAGUGUGCCUAAAGACAGGGAAAGGAAUGUGCUUUAGGCCCACUGUUUUCACUGGGGCCCAUCGUAUGUAUGUGGCUUGGUGAUUACCCAGGAACCUCCCAAGUCUGUCCCCGAGUUGCUUAUCUGUGUUUUACAGCCUGAAAGAUCAGGCUGCUCUUUGUUAGGAGAAGUGAUUUCUUUGAAUUGCGUGGUGUGGUUAGAAAGGCAGCAAUUUCUAAGCUGCUUUUUGUUAGAAAGCUUUUUGCUGGGGACUCUUCACCCUAUCUACCUUAAAUGAUUUCUUUCUGUUUCUUACAUCAAUUGGGUACUGAUUUCAAGUAGAAUGAGUGAAUGCAUUUAUUCAUUCAUCUAAGCCGUAUUUACUCCUUUCUUUCACUGUUGUUGUUGUUUGUUUUUUUUGAGAUGGAGUCUCGCUGUGUUGCCCAGGCUGGAGUGCAGUGGCGCGUUCUCGGCUCACUGCAAGCUCCGCCUCCCAGGUUCACGCCAUUCUCCUGCCUCAGCGCCCCGAGUAGCUGGGACUACAGGCGCCCAUCACCACGUCCGGCUAAUUUUUUGUAUUGUUAGUAGAGAUGGGGUUUCACCGUGUUAGCCAGGAUGGUCUCAAUCUGACCUCGUGAUCUGCCCGUCUCGGCCUCCCAAAGUGCUGGGAUUACAGGUGUGAGCCACCACGCCCGGCCUCUUUCACUAUUUUCAUAGCAGAUUAUUUCCUUUGGCCCUCCGUCCUCUCUGGCUGGGUAGCUUGGGGCCAGCCAUAAACGGAGGGGAGGGCGUGUGUGUGGCCACGUGUGUAUUUUGUCCUGGACAACACUGUCCUGAGGGGCCUAAGUGGGAAGUGCCCUCAACAAAGGAGAUUGCUGCUGUGUGUGUGUGUGUUGUGUGUGUGUGUUGUGUGCGGUUGGGACAGUCGUGGAUUCUCACUUUUUUUUAAUUUGAGACGGAGUUUCACUGUCAUCACCCAGGCUAGAGUGCAAUGGCGUGAUUUUGGCUCACCGCAACCCCUGCCUCCUGGGUAAGCGAUUCUCCUGCUUCAGCCUCUCAAGUAGCUGGGAUUACAGGCGCCCACCAGCACGCCCAGCUAAUUUUUGUACUUUUAGUAGAGACGGUUUCACCACGUUGGCCAGGCUGAUCUCGAACUCCUGACCUCAGGUGAGCCACCUGCCUCGGCCUCCCAAAGUACUGGGAUUACAGGCGUGAGCCACCGCGUGCAGCCGGGAUCCUCACUUUUUCGCAGAGAUUGAGUGGUCACUGGCAGAGUGUCUGAUGGAACUUUGUGAGAUGCUGGAAAUGUCUGUGCUGUACAAAAGGGAUGCCACUAGCCACAUGCCACGUAGAACAGUUGAAAUGUGGCCAGCAUGAGAUUUUUUAAAUCUUGACAGUUUUUGAUGGAUUUAAGUUUAUGAUGGAUUUAAGUUUAAGCACCUGUAAGUGAGCGGCUACCGCGUGGGAUGGGUGGGAUUGGAGGAAGCUGGAAAACGCUCCCCUGCGUUUCGGGUGCUGGCCCAGCAGAGGGCGCCGGAGAGCGGACGGAGCCGCAGGCGGGGUUGUGGGAAGACGCUGGGAUCCCGUGCGCGUUUGUGCUCCUCCUGGGCCAGCGCGCAGACUAUCGACGGAGGAAUUCAGUUCCUCGGAAACACAGUUCCUCCGACUCCAGCCUUCUCGCCCACGUGGAGACAGUAGCUCUCACGUACUUCUCGGGGGCUCUUACUCGUGGUCCCGGUCUCCUCCUGGCCCCCACCUCCCAGCCCAGCGCGCACACUAGACGGCACGUGCUCUCCACGCUCUUCCUCCAGCGCCCCUUGCUCCUCCGACCCCCCGUGGAGUGGCCCAUCCUCUCCGUUUAGACACCUGCAGUCACUGUCACUAGCUGAACUGCGCCCUCCUGAAAGCUGUAUGUUGAAACCCUACCCACCCACCCUGCGCCGACCUGGCACCCCAGAAUGGGGAUGUAUUUGGAGACAGGGCCUUUACAAAGGUAAGUAAGGUUAAAAUGAGGACAUUAGGGUGGGUCCUAAUCCAAUCUGCCUGUUACACAGUGGGGUCGCACCUUCAUGUGAGGACGCAGGGAGAAGAGAGCCAUCUGGGAGCCAAGGAGAGAGGCCUCGGCGGAAACCAAACCUGCAGCACGAGGAAAUCACUGGGAGAAUUGUACUGAAUUUGAAAAACAAGCAUGAAUCUUUCCUAUAGGAUAGGAAGCGUCUGAUGUAUACCAUAAAGUGAAAUUUCAUAUACAGCAUGUAUCAAUUAAGAUUUAAUUCAAAAAAGAUUAAGUUAAAAAGAAAAACACAGGCUAACCUCCAUUCAUCUGAUGUUCAUAUGCCCUGGCACAUUUAUUGCUUCUUAUAAUGUGCUUUAAAAAAAAAAGAGCUUUUCUCAGAGACACUAAUAUAAUGAAUUCAUAUACCCAUCAUCAACUUCUACAAUUACCAAUAUUCAGCCUCUUCCAUUUACAACCCACCCAUUUUCUAAGAAAUAAAGCAGAUGCUACACCCAUAAAUAUUUCAAACGUUCUUGUCUAUUUUUGCUAUUUUCAGUUCCUUUCAUGUCAUUGUCCCCUGAACCCACCUCAACAAAGCUGGUUUUUGUAGUCACCAAUAACAUCAAUUUAUUAAAUACAUUCUAUCCUACUUACUCAGCAUUGAAUACAGUUAAUUACACUUCCUUGUUUAUUUGUUCCCUUAGCUUAUUGGACACCACUUCCUCCUGGCUUCUACUCCCUCGACAGCUGUCAUUCCUGCUUUAUACAUUGAAUCUCUCUUUAUAACUUCUAAGUGUUCUCAGCAUCAGGAAAAUAUAAAAAAUAAGUUCACAAGUAAUCGGUAAGACUGGAACAUACGCUUUCCUGAAAGAAUAUAACUAACAUUUGCAAUUCU